UCACCCACAAAACUCCACUCCUCACCUUAACCUAAACUUCUACUACUGCGGUAUACUCGUCUCUGAAACUUAGAAAGACAUCAUAUGAUCUGUUCUGUUCAUAUAUGGUGUUUUCUAAGUUUUAGAACCGGCAAUACUCGUAAAUCGGAUUCAAUCUACACACUGGAGCCAAGUUCCUGCUUCAUAUCUGAUGUAAUUUCAUCGCCUCUGAAGCUCAAAAACAUGUCGUCGACUACAUCGGUUCUUAAUCGUCUUGUUACAUGAUAUGUUUUUGAGUUUCGAGGCUAUGAUGUUGGUCAAUAAUCAUUCUUCUUUCCAGAUCUAACGGUUUCAUUAACUGAAACUGCUGGUCACGUGGUAUAGACGGAGAAACUGAAGUGUGUUGGUGUUUAAGCUGAUUUAAUAAGUAAUUUUUAUAUAACUUUAUUUUUAAACGGAGAAAUAAUAAAAGAAAACUUUUUAUGAUAUUGAUCUGCUUGACAAUGGACCAUAUUUCCAAAUGACAGGCUGAACUUCACUGAAUUAGAACAUAUGGACAAUCAUCAUCACUUAACUUAGUGUCAAUAUAAAUAAAACAAAUGCUGGGAACAAAUGAUCAUUUCAUUUGUCGUAAUUUUUAGAAGAGCGUAUAAAAUUAUAAAUUGCAACUAAAAAUGAUGAAAAAAAGAAUAGAUGGUGUUAAGAAACAGGCUGAUAAUAUCCCUGAAAUCAAGCUAGGUAGUAUAUGAGUGAUUUUAUGUUUUCAAGUUUCAACUAGGUAGUAUAUGACAAUUAAUUAUAACUAGAAUUAGUAUUGCGGCGGCGUUCAUACAUGUGCGCCGGCGUGGAGUGUGGCGUGGUUCUUACAUAUGCGCCGGGAGGACAAAGCAUUCGCUAACUUCGUAUAACUAGAUCUAUAAAAACACAUGCUUGUAGAAAAACUGCAAAACAUGCUAAAAACAUGACCCAUUUGUUACACAUGCCUAUUAUAUAAUUGUUGUUUGAAGUGAAGCAACUCGUCCUAUGAUGUUAAGUACUCUGCAGCGGAAAAAAGCAAGAAGAAAGCAACAUAAUCUCCGCAUAACUAAAACAAAAGAAAACGGCUUAACGAUAUUCAAAAAAGCAAUGGUUCCAAGCUCAAUAAAUAAUCCUGACCCGACCAAAACGACGACCGACCCGAAAAUUCUAUCGUUUGGGUGUAAAAGAUCCGAGUAUCGAAAAAACUGGACCACAUUGGAAAAAAAUCCUAUCGUUUGGGUGUGACACAUCCAUGAAGCCGAAUGUUAGUUACAUAAAGAAAGUUUGUUUGUGUCACAUCAAGCAAGGUAGAUACAAUAGUUGUACAAAAGAUUGGCGUUAAUACUUUGCAACAACUUCGAAAGUGCACCAUCCCAUUUGCAUAACUCUUCCACCUAAAUCUUCAAAAUGCCCUUCGUGAGCCUAAAAAGAAACUGGUUGCUGCUGUUUGAGAUAUGAACACCAAAAUCUUUAAUGUUUCUUUUGGUUUAUUUCAUUUGGACCACAAAAAACUUACAUGAUUAUAAGGUUGCAUACACGUCAUCAAAAAAGUUGUGAUCAUGAACUUCAUACUCGCAAUCUUUUUAAAUAUCCUGCAUUGUUAUGCCAUAAACAAAAUGUUGGGUUCCCAUUGAUGUGAACUGUAACGCUCUGCUUUAUCGUAACUUUCCUUAUUUAGAAAGCGUGUCUUGUAAUUCUAUUUUCGGAAAGACGUUUCUCUUGUAAUCGUAUCCUAUUUCGAAUCAUUGUAAAUCCGAGACUUGAUUAUAAUAAAAUUGAUCGUUUAUGUGAAAUAUACAUUGUUCGUA